CCGAUGCUCCCCCAGCUUGGGCUUGGCGAGGACAGUUGGGGGCCGGCCGGAUCUCCCCUCCGGCUCUCCCUGCACCCCAAAAGAACGGCCCACCAAGCUGGGUGAAGCCCUUUGGGACCCGCAGUUACUUUUAUUGAUUUUCUUGAGACCUGACAGCCAAAAAAAAGGGGCGCGGUGCGCAGUGGAAAGAGGCCAGGCCCUGCAGAAAACGCCAGGCAAACAGACCUCCCGAACAAAGGAGCGCACCCAACUUAGACACCCCCAGACUGCUUUGGAAUUCUUCCUGCCCUUGCAACGUCUGUUUCUUUGAAGGUGCACCUUUGGACCAAAGCCGUUGGUUUCUUCCAAAUCCAUCCGGUGAACCUGCCCCCACCUCCCGUAAACAAAGAAAAAGCCAGGGACUGACCCCAAGUUUCUAGGAGCAGCAGUGAGGUUGACAUAUUUCAGACAAAUCGCAGCAGCCAACUUCCUGUCCGGCCCCUUUUCCACGGAGAAACCCUCCCUCCACCCUUCCCGGGUCCAGGUGAAGAGAUUAAAACUCUACACGAGUCCCUACAUGGAAUGCUCAGCUGGGCGACAUUUUUUAAUAUUGCAUUACACUAUGAAUUUCUCUCUGUCCCCACGGAAACAUACCUCUAGUUCGGUGGAACGUGCCCAGCCCUUCUAUCUUGAACAGAAGAUCACAGUAUUUAAUGCUAAUUUCCUUGGGAUGGUGCUUACAAUACACCAGGUGAGGUUUUCAUAAUAUACUGUUACAAUACAGAUGUUAAACAGAGAAGGGGAAGUGUGCAAAUCCCAAACUGCAAGAGACAGCAGGGUUAUCAUCUUUAUAAAAGUUUCAGCACAAAAUACUAUCCGAACACUGAGGAGGAGCCGCUCAGCAGUUUCCCGCUGCCAGGAAGAGAAAUUCACAUGUUGAGGCGGUCCC
ensembl:lncRNA